rnacentral:rRNA from 1 species
UGAAGAUGGAGUGCUUGCACAAGUUGGAUUGGAUCCCCGCUUAGUGGCGCAAGGGUGAGUAACACGUGGGUAAUCUGCCUUCGAGUCUGGAAUAACAGUUAGAAAUGAUUGCUAAUGCCGGAUAAUAUGGAGAACGAUACGUCAUUCUUUAUUAAAAGGGGCCUUUAAAGCCUCGCUUGAAGAUGAGCCUGCGCCGUAUUAGCUAGUUGGUGGGGUAAUGGCCUACCAAGGCGACGAUGCGUAGCCGACCUGAGAGGGUGAUCGGCCACACUGGGACUGAGACACGGCCCAGACUCCUACGGGAGACAGCAGUUAGGAAUAUUCGUCAAUGGGGGAAACCCUGAACGAGCAAUGCCGCGUGAAGGAUGAACCGGUCCUAUGGAUUGUAAACUUCUGUUGUUAGGGAAGAACGACCUGUAUAGGAAAUGAUGCAGGAGUGACGGUACCUUUCAAGAAAGCUCCGGCUAACUACGUGCCAGCAGCCGC